GGCUGGUUGGCGCAACGGUAGCGCGUUCGACUCCAGUUGAGCUUUAUGAAAGUUCAGUGGCAUCGAAAGGCUAGGUGUUCGAAUCACCUACUGGUCA